CCUUCGGGGGGCAGCAGUGGGGAAUAUUGCACAAUGGGGGAAACCCUGAUGCAGCAACGCCGCGUGAGUGAAGAAGUAUUUCGGUAUGUAAAGCUCUAUCAGCAGGGAAGAAGAAAGACGGUACCUGACUAAGAAGCCCCGGCUAACUACGUGCCAGCAGCCGCGGUAAUACGUAGGGGGCAAGCGUUAUCCGGAUUUACUGGGUGUAAAGGGAGCGUAGACGGCUGUGCAAGUCUGAAGUGAAAGCCCGUGGCUCAACCGCGGAACUGCUUUGGAAACUGUAUAGCUUGAGUACUGGAGAGGCAGGCGGAAUUCCUAGUGUAGCGGUGAAAUGCGUAGAUAUUAGGAGGAACAUCAGUGGCGAAGGCGACUAUCUGGCACAUAACUGACGCUGAGGAGCGAAAGCGUGGGUAGCAAACAGGAUUAGAUACCCUAGUAGUC
rnacentral:rRNA from 1 species